CGGUCCGGCCGCUAGCUGAGAACUAGAUCCUCUGGGUUUGGUAUCUUGUCCUCAAGGUAUCCUGGGGGCAGCGCCAUUCACUGCGAAAUGGAAGACAGAAGAAGAAGCAGAGUUUGAGGGUCCAGGCCCCGGAGAGAGGAAGGCAUGGCUUGUGGGAGCAUGUGGUGACUCUGCACUGUAGAGGCAACCAGGAGGAAGCCAGGUGUCACCUGUGCGGAUGAACUGGGAAGACACUUCUGUGAAGGAUUAGAAGACAAGCAGGCCUGCAGUACCCACGGAUUACGGAAGACUUUGUAAGAGUUAAGUCUUUUCUCCCUUCAGAGACAACACCCUCACUCCUGAGGAGAUGACGAAGUAUUAAAGAGCCAGUGACAGCGGCUGGAGACAUGGCUGGCUGCUUCAGAGCACUGGCUGCUCUUGCAGAGGACCCGGGUUCAGUUCCCAGCACCCACAUGGUGGCCGUUCUGGACA